rfam:Prevotella sp. S7 MS 2 contig057, whole genome shotgun sequence.
GGGGUUGACUGGAUUUGACAGCGGGAUGAAGUAGGAUGUAAGCACGCGGAGGCUCGUCGGCUACCUCCAUAAUCUGAGUGGACACAAAUUUAAUUGGCGAAAACAAUUACGCUCUCGCUGCCUAAUCGAAGUACAGUAGAUUACUGGCUUUAUCCCUUCACUAGGUGAGGGGACGAGACAUCGCUCCAAGGAUGUUGUUCCGAAUCUGAGGACUUAGCGGUGCAGGAAAAUCGGAAAUAGUCUAUGUAAGCCUCGUUGCAUGGAUGAAAUUUAGAGGAUAAGGUUGCAGUUGGUGGUCCGGGUCUUGCUGCAAUUCGAAAAUUGAAGGCCGGAAUAAGCGUGUAGAAAGCAUGUUAUUUCCCUGUUUGGACGUGGGUUCGAAUCCCACCAGCUCCACUC